UACGGGGGGGCAAGCGUUGUUCGGAAUUACUGGGCGUAAAGGGCUCGUAGGCGGCCAACUAAGUCAGACGUGAAAUCCCCAGGCUUAACCUGGGAACUGCGUCUGAUACUGGAUGGCUUGAAUUCGGGAGAGGGAUGCAGAAUUCCAGGUGUAGCGGUGAAAUGCGUAGAUAUCUGGAGGAAUACCGGUGGCGAAGGCGGCAUCCUGGACCGAGAUUGACGCUGAUGAGCGAAAGCUAGGGGAGCAAACGGG
rnacentral:rRNA from 1 species